CUGUGUGAACGAAAUGAAAUCGAUAAAAUAGAUGUUCAGCUGUAUAUUACUCGAUCACAAACACAGAUUCCUUCCAUACAUCAGACCUUAUCACGGGAUGUUGUUGAUUUUAUAGACAAACGAUUACAAUUAAAUAAACCUAAUUGGACAGAAAUAUUUUCACAUUUAAGUGAAUCACAUAAAAGUAAAACAGUCGACGUGUUCGUGUGUGGACCACGAUCCCUAGUAGAAGAUGUAAGAACACACAGCUUACGACAUUAUAACACUAAAACACGGUUCAUGUUUUAUAAAGAAACAUUUUGAUGAGGGAG